UGGGCCGUUACUGACGCUGAGGAGCGAAAGCGUGGGGAGCGAACAGGAUUAGAUACCCUGGUAGUCCACGCCGUAAACGGUGGACGCUGGAUGUGGGGCCCAUUCCACGGGUUCCGUGUCGGAGCUAACGCGUUAAGCGUCCCGCCUGGGGAGUACGGCCGCAAGGCUAAAACUCAAAGAAAUUGACGGGGGCCCGCACAAGCGGCGGAGCAUGCGGAUUAAUUCGAUGCAACGCGAAGAACCUUACCAAGGCUUGACAUGUGAGCGUCUGCCUCAGAGAUGGGGUUUCCUCCUUGUGGGGCGCUUUCACAGGUGGUGCAUGGUUGUCGUCAGCUCGUGUCGUGAGAUGUUGGGUUAAGUCCCGCAACGAGCGCAACCCUUGUCCCGUGUUGCCAGCACGUUGUGGUGGGGACUCGCGGGAGACUGCCGGGGUCAACUCGGAGGAAGGUGGGGAUGACGUCAAAUCAUCAUGCCCCUUAUGUCUUGGGCUUCACGCAUGCUACAAUGGCCGGUACAGAGGGUUGCGAUGUCGUGAGGCGGAGCGAAUCCCUUAAAGCCGGUCUCAGUUCGGAUCGGUGUCUGCAACUCGACACCGUGAAGUUGGAGUCGCUAGUAAUCGCAGAUCAGCAACGCUGCGGUGAAUACGUUCUCGGGCCUUGUACACACCGCCCGUCACGUCAUGAAAGUCGGCAACACCCGAAGCCCGUGGCCUUACGGGGAGCGGUCGAAGGUGGGGCUGGUGAUUGGGACGAAGUCGUAACAAGGUAGCCGUACCGGAAGGUGCGGCUGGAUCACCUCCUUU
rnacentral:rRNA from 1 species